UGCAGAAUCCCGUGAAUCAUCGAGUCUUUGAACGCAAGUUGCGCCCGAGGCUUCGGCCGAAGGCACGUCUGCCUGGGCGACGCAC
rnacentral:rRNA from 1 species